CUUUAGCCCCGAUUGCAGUGAAAAUCCCACGCUUUUGGGCGUGGAUUGCAACGGAAAGCGGGAACGUUG
rnacentral:sRNA from 1 species